rnacentral:misc_RNA from 1 species
GAUGAAGAACGUAGCGAAAUGCGAUACUUGGUGUGAAUUGCAGAAUCCCGUGAACCAUCGAGUCUUUGAACGCAAGUUGCGCCCGAAGCCAUCAGGUUGAGGGCACGUCUGCCUGGGCGUCACAUAUCGUUGCUCGAUGCCUAUCGCAUUGCGAUAGGACUUAGGGCGAAUGAUGGCUUCCCGUGAGCGUUGUUGCCUCGCGGUUGGUUGAAAAUCGAGUCCUUGGUAGGGUGUGCCAUGAUAGAUGGUGGUCGAGUCAGCACGAGACCGAUCAUGUGCAUGCUCCCCAAAAUAUGGCGUCUGUGACCCACACGCGUCUUUUGACGCUCAUGACGAGACCUCAGGUCAGGCGGGGCUACCCGCUGAAUUUAAGCAUAUCAAUAAGCGGAGGA